rnacentral:miRNA from 1 species
UACUACACACAUUUUAUAUAUAUAUGUAUACAUAUAUAUAUAUACACACACACACACAUUUUAUAUAUAUAUGUGUGUGUGUGUGUGUGUAAUAUAA